rnacentral:rRNA from 1 species
AACGAACGCUGGCGGCAGGCUUAACACAUGCAAGUCGAACGCAUCCUUCGGGGUGAGUGGCAGACGGGUGAGUAACGCGUGGGAACGUGCCCUUCAGUUCGGGAUAACCCAGGGAAACUUGGGCUAAUACCGGAUACGUGCGAGAGCAGAAAGAUUUAUCGCUGAAGGAUCGGCCCGCGUCUGAUUAGCUAGUUGGUGGGGUAAUGGCCCACCAAGGCGACAAUCAGGAGCUGGUCUGAGAGGAUGAUCAGCCACAUUUGGACUGAGACACGGCCCACACUCCUACGGGAGGCAGCAGUGGGGAAUAUUGGACAAUGGGCGCAAGCCUGAUCCAGCCAUGCCGCGUGAGUGAUGAAGGCCUUAGGGUUGUAAAGCUCUUUCGUCCGGGACGAUAAUGACGGUACCGGAAGAAGAAGCCCCGGCUAACUUCGUGCCAGCCGCCGCCGUAA